AGAAGAGUAAACUAAUGGAAAGUUAUUUGGCUCAUGACCAGAAUAUAAGGGUUCGAUUCCUUUCUCUUUAU